rnacentral:lncRNA from 1 species
GGGCCGGUGAGGGGCAGGGAGGAGCGCGGCCGCGUCUUGAGGGAUGGGGUCGCGUGGUUGCCAGGACGUGGCGAUAAGAAGCAUCACUCGGAGGCGCGUUUCACGUAGAAGGAGUUUUCUUUUACUACCCUCGGAUGACUUCCUUCGUCACGCGUGGAUCUGCUCUAAGGCUGCCUGCCUGCCGGCCGCCUGCGGAAGUCCUCCCUGGGGCCUUUGCCGCCCGGAGCUGCCAGGCAUCGCGGGCGCGCCCACACAGAGGACCUGCGAACCCACCAGCUUCUCGGAGGGUGAGUGAGCGAGGGGACCGGGCCGGAUGGGCUGCAGCAGCCAGGGCUUGGGCCCUCAGCGCCGUGGAGCGGGCCGCGUGGGGGAGGACGUUCGCGCAGCUCCGUGUGCCAGAGCCGCCACCGCCGCUGGGAGACCCGUGCUGGCGGGAAGGCGCCUGCCCCCGCUGGGGCGGUGGCGAACCUCACUAGCGGCCGGCCCUGGAGGGAGGUGGUGAGGCGGCUUGCCUGCGGCCAGGGGUUUGUGUGGAGUUGCCAAGUAUUCGGCAAUACUUGGAGUUGCCAAGUAUUCGGUUUGUGUGGAGUUGCCAAGAGUGAAAGACCUGCUUUUUCCUAUGGGUGUGUGGAUGUGUUCCUGGAAUGGGGUGCUGGUUGUGCUGGGUGCCCUCUUUAAGGAACUGCCUGACCAUCUUGUGAUUUGUAGGUAAGGAGAGGAACCUUAGGCUGGGCAGGAGAAAGAGUGGCUCUGCUGGCCACUAAUUGUCCACUAGCUUGGUCCCAUCCGUCUGGGGCCAUUCUGGGCAUAGGGAGUCACCUGGAAUUGUUAGUGAUUCAGGUUCAGCGUGUCAGGAGCCUACCCGGCAGGUGGGUGAAACACCGGGCGAGUCACCUCUUCCUGUUGGCCACGGGCACUAGGGUCCCCUGACACUUUGUUAUUUCUGCAUUUGAGAGUUCUCCUUUGGAUGCUUCUGUGGUUGUUUCCCUGGCUUAGUUUUCUUUUGUGAAGAGGUAGUUUCUGUUACAUCCUCUGUUGGUUCAGGAGUCUUGUCAUUGAAGGUCCUUUGACACAGUAGAGGUAACUUACUGUGCAGUAGAUGGCAUUUUCCCCAGAAUUCUCAUUCUUCCUUUCCCAAGUUCAGGAAACUUAUAGGUUAAGGAAACUUAACCUAUAAUUGCCUGGGUUAAGUUUGUGAGGAUUGUGUUCUGUCGUAUUUGUUGGUUGGUUCAUGAGUGAGCUUUUUAAAUACAUAUGUAACUACAAGUAUCAUGAAAAAAUCAUUAGGCUUUGCAUUUGUUCUUCCUUCUAAGUUAACUGGGAGUACCAGUCUUGUUGCUGGGUCACAGGUCCCGUAUGGUUUUUCUGCAUUUGAGAGUCAACGUUACUGGCUAUGAAUUUGGUUGCGCACAUUUCUAGUAUGUUAAGACUUUGGAUGCCUUAAGAGUACAUGUUUGUUCUGAAAUACGUUUUUAA